rnacentral:rRNA from 1 species
CAUACCUACGGGGGGCAGCAGUGGGGAAUAUCGCACAAUGGGGGGAACCCUGAUGCAGCGACGCCGCGUGAGUGAAGAAGUAUUUCGGUAUGUAAAGCUCUAUCAGCAGGGAAGAUAAUGACGGUACCUGACUAAGAAGCCCCGGCUAACUACGUGCCAGCAGCCGCGGUAAUACGUAGGGGGCAAGCGUUAUCCGGAUUUACUGGGUGUAAAGGGAGCAUAGGCGGCCAUGCAAGUCAGAAGUGAAAACCCGGGGCUCAACCCUGGGAGUGCUUUUGAAACUGUGCGGCUAGAGUGUCGGAGGG